UCUCUCUCUCUCUCUUGAGUUAGAAUUUCUUGCUGAAACUAGGACUCACCAGUAGCUGUUUUGGUGGGUUAGCAAGCAUCUGGAAUCGUCGUCUUUCUGCUUUUGGGAGCUGGGACUCAGGUGAGUACUUCCACACUCUGCUUUUUACAUUCAUUCCAGGGUUGUGAACUCUGGUUCUCAAGCUUCUGUAACAACCAGUCUACUCACUGCGUCAUCUCCCCAGCUGGAGUCAAGAUCCUUAGCAGCCAGUCUUCCAUCCUUAUGAGCUUUGGACCCAGGAUAGUUGAACAAAUCUUGAAAGGCAACUUGUGAAGUUGCAGCUGGGAAUGAAAUAUUUUCCAGAUGGGAGUCACCACACACAGGAGGGACAGAUGCGUUUAUCUAAUUUUACUAGAUGGUUAAGGUCAUGGAUUUAACAUCUACCUGAUCAAGUUGCUCUACUGAGGUGCUUAUCUGUACAGUACUUAAUUGUUUUAAUUACUUGAGAACAUUAAACAGGCAACUUUUCUAGAUCUCCUGAGAUCCUGGGCCAUCAGGCAACAUAGAACUCACAUUCCCAACUACCAGAACAUUGACGUUGCUGCUCUAGGGCCAGGCCCUGCUUUCCAGUUGGCUGAAGAAGGACCUUUCUCAGCCCAUUUCACUUCUUUGCCAAGAUAACUACUUGGUUCUUGAGGGCCUCUGGGACCAAGGCCCUUGCUAAUCUGCCUUUCUAGAGUUUCCCUCCCAUACAGGCAGGUUUUCCAGUCCCCACUUUCCUGAGGUCAGUCUCCAGUUCCACAUGGCCCUGUGGAGAUUUGAGGGUUAGUGCUUGGCAGCCAUUUUGACCUGGGUGUGUCAGGCACAGUGUAGCAUCUUUUGAAUUUUCUCUGUCCCAGACAUUUUCAAACAAUUGUGUUGGAGAGAAAACAAAUGGCAGAUGUUAACAAAACCACAGCUUCUACUCAAAAAUGACUCAGAAUUCAAGAUCUACUUCAUGGUUAUUGGUAGAAUCCACUGACUAGAAGAACUCAUAGUUCAAGUGUCACUUGUAUCCAGACAAUUUCCUCCUUCACAGCUCAGAAUCAAGACAUCACUAGCAUCAGGCGCUUGAGUCUUUCAAAGCAAUCCCCUGCCCUGCUAUACUUUUGUGUUCCAGGAGCUGGGAUCUUUCCAAGAAAAGAAAAAGCCCAUAUGGAUCAGAACCGGGUGUCACUCAUUUUAUGUUCUUGUUUUCUUCAAUCUAUAUGUAGCUGAGUUCCCAGAGAUUUUUAUAUUUCUCAAGGGUGGCAGGAGGUGAGCCUUCUGUGAGAAAUGACUCUGUAAGAUGAAGUUGCGAAUCGGAAUCUCUCUCCAUGUUUAUACAACCAUAGUGCAUAGCUGUAGAGUCCAGGAGAUUUCCCUUGGGAUAAAAAUGCCUAUUCAUUUUGUUAUUUUGGGAGGUGAUUUUUAAGGCACAGAAAGAAUACAAAUAGACAGCAUAAAGCCAGCACAGUCUAAAGCUGGGAUUCUGACAUCAACCUCUACAUUCCACACCUUGGUCACAUCGCAGCUGUCUUCUUAUUUAUCCAGUUGCUGUUUUAGAACAUUCCAGUGAUCAAUAUGUGUAGUGCCUGUCUGGGAGGCCCCAGUAAUGAACACAAGGCAUUGACAGUGGAGUCACCACUUUCUAUGGCAAUGAGUAAUUUGCUGGUUUUCUCAGAAGUAAACCGUUAAGAGGGCUCCACAAAAUGUCUUUUUUUUUCUUCUUCAUUAUCAUUAGCUAUUGAUUAAACUCCCCAUUUUCCAUCUGACAAAUUUGUUAAAGUCACAAAUAAUGCAACAAAUGACAGUGCUGACCACGGGGUCAUUAGAAGCUUCCGUAGCCCGCGUCAGUCCGGGAUGUGCUGGGUGUCUAGAUCUUUGGAAAGCAAUGCUGAUGAGGAACCGUUUGCCCACUCAGGUCCCGGGUUUCUACAACCGCUGCGUGUGUCACCAGCGAGGCUCAUCUUUUAUGUUGAUUUCUAUUAGUGAAUAUAUAAAUACAGCUUGAAGAAUGCUACCUGUCCCCCAGCUCUUGAACCAUCAAUAGAAUCCAGAAUGGUGAAUUCUUUGUAGAAGUCACCUUGGUUCCGUUGGGGGGAAAAUUACUGAUGUUCUUUGAAAAGGUAGAGUUUGAGGGCUUUUUUUAAAAAAAUGUAGCUGAAUAGGAUUUUAAGAAAGCAGAAUUAUAAUGUGGAGUGAAAAGAAAAAGCGAGAGGUUGGGUCAGAAACUGGGUUAUCAGUACAAUGCAGAAAGGCAAAAUAAAUGCUAAUAGACUGCACACGUGCCCUUCCUGCUAGAUUAGAGACCAGGAGGGCGCCUGCUGAAUGCAGACCAUUGUAUGGCCGCACAGAGCAAAGGGUCUGGGCUAUUAUCCCUCGCUCGGCCCCUUGUGCCACAGAUGGUUCUUCUUGCUUCUCUUAUCAGAGCUGUGCAUUCAGUCUCUGCAGCUUGAUCUCUUCCUCACUCCUCUGCUCAUACAAAAAACGGAUUGAUCUGCUGAAAGAGAGGGCUAGGAGAGGGGCUGUCUCUGAGGGAUAGGGGAGGUUUCAGAAACAAAAGGAGUGGGAGGCCAGGUGCAGGCAUGGGACAGGGCAGUGGAUUUAGAUGCUCUAGGAGGUGAUGGGGACAGCCCCGGCAGCAACCAGCAACCAAGUGUUCCCUAGGCCUUAAGCUCGGCCACCUGCAAAAUGGCCUUGGCUUUUGUGCUCAGGGAGACCUAAAGUUCUCAGGUGUUGAACAAUCGGAGUGGGCUCUCCAUACCUCCCUGGGGAUAUAGAGCUGCCACUUCCGGCCCAGCCUUACUGCUCCCACUGCUCCUGGGACAGUUCCUGCUUCUGAACUGGUUGAUAGAAACUGCAAAUCCAGCAAGGAUAGGCCAAGGGCAUAGCCGCAGAGAGCCACUCCUCGUAAGUCAGCCCACCCAGAAGAACUGAAGGGACGAAGACUCUUAGGGUUGAGUCCUGAGUCCGGGCUGAGCUGCAUUUGUUGUCCUUUUCAUCCGAAUCAAUGUAGGAUGGUUUGGCUUAGCCAUACUCAAGCUGUGGCAUCCACCAGCAAUGGUGUCUCCAGAAAACUACCUUGUUUUUCUCCUCGCUUGUUUUCCAACUCUAAAAUGCUAUUACUUCAUAGUGUUAUUACAUUAAAAAAAAGAAUAACACAAAAACAUCUAAAAAUGAAUACUAAAUGAAUACUGUUUAAUAAGACAACAAACAUUUUUAAAAAAUGAAUGGCUUAGAAAUGAUGCCAUGAGAUUUUAGCUAUUGCCAUCAUUAUUGUGAUUAUUUUGUGUUAUUAUUAUGAUGGUCUAUAUGAACUACAUAUUAACAUCAUAACUACAUUUUAACAUCAUAACCACUUAGACAUGAUAAUAUAAAUUAAUGACAGAGCUUGGACUUAGGGGUCAAGGCCAUCAGAGACUUCAUUCUAACACACCUGUACCACAGACUUUGUUCAUUUGGGUGACUACUUACAGUUCAAACUUCGGUCUCCCAACUGUGAAGUGGGGUUAACAAGAGUGAUUGCUGUGGGCGGAGGGAUGGAUGGGAAAUGUGCAUUAUCAGAGACAAAGUCUGAUCACUGAAGAAGUUCAACAAAGGGGAACUGUUAUUAUUUCUUUUUUUAUUAAAUAUUUUCUUCAUUUACAUUUCAAAUGCUAUCCCCAAAGCUCCAUAUACCCUCCCCCUGCCCUGCUCCCCAACCCACCCACUCCUGGUUCCUGGCCCUGGGAUUCCCCUGUACUGGGGCAUAUGAUCUCCGCAAGACCAAGGACCUCUCCACCCACUGAUGGCCGAGUAGGCCAUCCUCUGAUACAUAUGCAACUAGAGACACAACUCUGGGGGAAGAGGUAUACUGGUUAGUUCAUAUUGUUGUUCCUCCUAUAGGGUUGCAGACCCCUUUUGCUCCUUGGGUACUUUCUCUAGCUCCUUCAUUAGGGGCCCUGUGUUCCAUCCAAUAGAUGACUGUGAGCAUCCACUUCUGUAUUUGCCAGGUGUUGGUAUAGCCUCACAAGAGACCGCUAUAUCAGAGUCUUGUCAGCAAAAUCUUUCUGGCAUAUGCAAUAGUGUCUGGGUUUGGUGGUUGUAUAUGGGAUGGAAUAACCCUAUUAAAAAUGGGGUACAGAGCUAAACAAAGGAUUCUCAAUGGAAAAAUACCAAAUGGCUGAGAAGCACCUGAAAAAAUGUUCAACAUACUUAAUCAUCAGGGAAAUGAAAAUCAAAACAACCCUGAGAUUCCACCUUACACCAGUCAGAAUGGCUAAGAUCAAAAAUUCAGGUGACAGCAGAUGCUGGCGAGGAUGUGGAGAAAGAGGAACACUCCUCCAUUGCUGGUGGAAUUGCAAGCUGGUACAACCACUCUGGAAAUCAGUCUGGCAGUUCCUCAGAAAAUUGGACAUAGUACUACCAGAAGAUCCAGCAAUACCCUCCUGGGAAUAUACCCAGAAGAUGUUCCAAUUUGUAAUAAGGACACAUGCUCAACUAUGUUAAUAGCAGCCUUAUUUAUAAUAGCCAGAAGCUGGAAAGAACCCAGAUGUCCCUCAACAGAGAAAUGGAUACAGAAAAUGUGGUACAUUUACACAAUGGAGCAAUUAAAACAUUGAAUUCAUGAAAUUCUUAGGCAAUGGAUGGAUCUGGAGGAUAUCAUCCUGAGUGAGGUAACCCAAUCAUAAAAGAACACACAUGAUAUGCACUCACUGAUAAGCGGAUAUUAGCCCAGAAACUUAGAAUACUCAAGAUACAAGAUACAAUUUGCAAAACACAUGAAACACAAGAAGAAGGAAGACCAUUGGGAACAAAAUACCCAUGGAAGGAGUUACAGAGACAAAGUCUGGAGCUGAGACAGAAGGAAGGACCAUCCAGAGACUGCCUCCUGUUAUUAUUUCUACAUGCUUGUGCAGGCUCACUUGCCAAAGCAAAAGUUACUCUGAGAACAAACAUUCUCCAGCAUUUUGAUCACACUGAUAUGCAGGUGCUCUGAGGCCAGCAGCCCCAGGAGAAGCCGCAGAGCCUGAGGAAGGGAUUCUGGAGAAUGUGAUGCACUGGGAAACACCUUUACAGGUGAGAAAAGGAGACCAGGACAGGAAGAGGAUGGUUCCAAAUACACACAAUCACUUCUACUUCUUCGCUAUCUGUAGAGGGGCACUGUGUGACUGUGUGUAAUCCUUCCUCGUGCUCCAUUGGAAUCAGUGUCAGCCGAGAGAACUACUGGUGGUUUUCCUUAUUAUCUGGACUUAUGUCUUUCAUUUGUUAAAUUCAUUUAUUUGUUUAUUUAUUCGUUCAGCAAUACAUACGAAGACUCUUCUUUCACCCCUGAAUCUGGCUUGUUCAGAACACAUUUUUUUUAUUUCUGUAAAUUCUGAACUAGUCACCAAGAGCCAAAGGAUUUUAUACGUUCAGCACUGCCAAGAAACCUCUCUUUUGUUUUUGAGUAUUUGCUGGCUCUAGCUUACCAGCGUAUUCUUGGCACUGGCAUCCCGCUUAAAUAAGUUUACAAGUCUCAGUGGGAUAGAAAAUGAAGAGCACAGGAAAGCACUGGCUGCCUUAGAAGACACAGAAGGAAGGAGAGGGUGGGAAUGGGAGACCAGGGCUCUGUGCAGGAUUCCUAAUCCGCACAGUUGCUGAGCACAGGCCACAUUUGAGAUCGGAAAUGCUGAGGAGCCCACAAGCUUUGUGGAUGGAUGGAUCUGACUUCUCCAGAAGAAAUAAUGCUGAAUGAGCUUGUGGAUUGGUCUGUUACACUGCUUACUUUUCUCAGAACUUUGACUCAAUUCCUGCCAAAGCAACUUAAAGAUUCAUUUGGGUUUACAGUUUGGGGGAUGCAGUCCAUGAAGGCAGGGGAGGCAUGGGGCUAUAAGCACAAGGUAGCUUUGUGUCCAUGUUCAAGAAAUAGAGAAAGAUGCAUGCUGGAGCUCCUUAGCCUUUCUUAUCCCACCCUCUCUAUUUAGCUUGAACCCCCAGCCCAUGGGAUGGUGCUAUCCAUGCUAUGGUGGGUCUUCUUUCUUCAUUUAAACUUCUCUGGAAAUAUCGUCACAGGUGUACUCAUAUAUGGGUUUCUAGGUGAGUCCAAUUUUAGUCUGGUUGACAAUAAAAAUUACCUAUUUAUUGUGUGUGGGUGUUUGUUUCUAAAGAAGUAUGGAUUCAAUGCAGACAGCCUCUUUUCAGAGCCGAACAAUAUUUGUUCUUUUGGCCAAGGAUUCUAAACUCAUAACUGCUCUUGGUAUGAUGCCAAAGAGAGGCUAUCAUAUCAUUCUCUACCAUGUGACCCCAAUGUAUAAAAUGAAGGCCUCAUCUGGUCAUUUGAUCUCCAAACUCCUUUCUAUAAAGGAGGGUAUUUAUCUCAAUAAUUCUUGGUGCAAUUGACUUAGGACAAUUAAUAUAAGCCUGAUGGAACAUAUUUGCUGGAAUGUCAGGAGGCUCAGUCUAUUCAAUAUUUAUCAACAAUUUGGAUGGAGGGAGAUGGCGUGCUGCCAUGGUUUGGGGGGAAUUGACAGGAGUUGGGAGAAGCCAUGCUUGUGACAGAAUCAAGAGUUGAAAAGUUUGAAAAUGGGCCUAAAGUCAAUAGAUAAAAUGUUGCUGUUUUAAGCAAAACACUCAUAAUUGUAUAAAUACAGAGAGGUAAUCCUAAUCCAUAAGCAAUUUAAGUGAGAUGACUUAAGCGUCUAAGUUCAGGAUGUACUGCAUUCAUGUAUAUUCAUGUUCAUGUUCAUGUAUUCAUGUUCAAUAAAUAUCUAUGGUCCCUGGCAUUCUUCCAGGGGUGAAGGAUACAGCAGUAAGUAAUAUGACAUCAUUGCUAGGUGGUUUACAUUCUAAUAUGUAAUGCAUUACAAUGUGAAGCCCAUAGCAUGCCACACAAAAGAGUAGGCUCUAUGAUACAAGCCAGCAAGAAGCAAGUGGUAGAGGUGAAAGGUGAAGCAAGGCAAUGAACAAUGAGACUACGGGUCACCAUUUAUCUAUUUAAAGCAACUGUGUGGCAUGGCUGCGACAAGCAUUGAAAUCCUGAAGUUUAUGAAAAAUGUGUUCCACCAAUCAGAGUGCUUCAUUCAGAGGUUUCUCCCUUUGUACAUACCCUGACCUCACUUAACUGCAGGGCCAUCCAUGAAGGCCAUUCUAUACCUUUCCAGGUUUUCUGACCUUGGCCUCAUUUCUGCAAUUUUACAUCUCUGGCUUUCGUGAGUCACUGACCGUGCAUGGAGCCCCUAUCACAGACCACUUCCAACAUUGCCACACGGCAGAUGCUGAGACUGGCUGGAUUUCUUCUGGCCACUGUGGGGCCACCCACCGUGACCGUGAUCACUGCAUCACCUUGAAGUGUCCAACUUGACCUGUCCCAGUUCUCUUUCAAAGUCCUCUUGUGGCAUUGGCUGCCAGAUAAGCCUCAAAGGGAACAUUUUUCUGUUUUAUUAAUGUUCUUACUCCUAAGUUUUGCACAGUGUGUGGGAUAAAUGCUAAUUUUUGUAGGUGGGGGAAAAACUUUUCUCCAAAACUUCUUGCAAUUUUAUUAAUAAUGUAGCAAAUGAGACAACAUAUUCUGAGGGCUUAGAGAAUCCCAGGGAGGCAUCCUGGGCCUCUGAGCACCAGCGCUGUUCCUCCUGCUGUCUCUGUCUCUCUCUCUCAGGCAGGGAGCUGCAGCACCGAAGAGCAGAGGGCAGGGGAAUUAUGCAUGAGCAGAGAGAGAAGAUGAUGACCUUCUGUGUUUAAAGGUUAAAACGAUUUCUUGGGAAAUGGAGCAAACUCACUAAUCAGAGGCUGUUCUGAAUUUUUCUGCAAAAAUUAGACCUAGUGGCUCUCUUCAUUGCUCUGUUUGAGUGUAUAUAUGUAUAUACAUGUAUAUAUAAGACAACCAAAUUAUGUUAGGCAUAAUCUAUUGAAUACCUACUGUGUUCCAACCCUAACAUAAGUUACACCAAAAAGAUAAAAAGAAGUACAUCAAUGUCUUUGGCUACUGAUAAUUCCAGUAACCAGAGUGCUCAAUUAGACAGUUUUUCUGCUUCAUGUGACUUAAAAGGAAUACAGUAGUUAUUCCAGGAAUUUACUAAAAGGGAAGUAUGAUUAGGGCACAUCACAAUGGAGACCCCCAUUUUCACAGCCGUGGUGCUGGUGGUGAAGCUAAGCUCAAGAUGAAGAUGAUGGACACAAUGAGGUGAAUUCUUGGCCUUUACGCUGAAUUUAUAGGCGUCAGGGCUUAAAGCAUAUCUCAUUUACCCACUCAGUGAGCAUGUUCUGAAAGCAUCCUCUG